UCCCGUCCUCCAGGAUGACGACUGUUCAGAACCUGUUUCACCACUGGAGCCUCAGACAGACGCUGCUGAGCUUUGAUCCCUGCCAGUGACUUCCAGUAUGUUUCAGUGCAACAAAAGGUGACAUUCCAAUGUUAAACCCUCGGCAUGAAGGAAUUUCCUCCUACGAACAAGUCAUGAACCGUGGCAGAGAGACUCAAAAACAAGACGAGCGUGUACAUCACGAGAUGUGACGUGUGUCUGGAAAUAUUUCUUGUGAAUUAAAAAAAAAAAGGAUCAGAAGAAUCAUGUCUGACUGUGACAUCUGGACCAAACCCACCGAGCAGUGAAGCAACUGAACCACAUCCAAACAUUAUGGUUCAAAGUGUAUUGUUGACUAAAUUCGUGCGGCCCAGGAAUCAACAUAACUUCAGCAUCAACCCAACGUGACGUCACCUUCAGCUCGUCAGCUGCUGCUCUGAAGCCUCUGACUUCUGGUUCAUCUUGGUUAUUUACAACCAGAAGGGAGCCUGACUGAGCGCUC